rnacentral:pre_miRNA from 1 species
UCCGCCUGCGCCACUCAAACUGUGGGGGCACUUUGUGCUGUGGACAGAAAGUGCCGCCCGGUUCUGAGUGUCGCGGGCGGG